AUUGAACGCUGGCGGCAGGCCUAACACAUGCAAGUCGAACGAGUGGCGGACGGGUGAGUAAUGUCUGGGAAACUGCCCGAUGGAGGGGGAUAACUACUGGAAACGGUAGCUAAUACCGCAUACCCUCGGAUGUGCCCAGAUGGGAUUAGCUUGUAGGUGAGGUAACGGCUCACCUAGGCGACGAUCCCUCGCUGGUCUGAGAGGAUGACCAGGCGAACUGGAACUGAGACACGGUCAAGACUCCUAGGGGAGGCAGCAGUUGGGAAUAUUGCAGAAUGGGCGAAAGUCUGAUGCAGCCAUGACGCGUGUAUGAAGAAUGCGUUCGGGUUGUAAAGUACUGUCAGCGGGGAGGCGUUACCCGCAGAAGAAGCACCGGCUAACUCCGUGCCAGCAGCCGCGGUAAUAC
rnacentral:rRNA from 1 species